CACUGGUCGAGUCGGCCUGCGCGGAAGAUGUAACGGGGCUAAACCAUGCACCGAAGCUGCGGCAGCGACACUAUGUGUUGUUGGGUAGGGGAGCGUUCUGUAAGCCUGCGAAGGUGACCUGUGAGGGUUGCUGGAGGUAUCAGAAGUGCGAAUGCUGACAUAAGUAACGAUAAAGCGGGUGAAAAGCCCGCUCGCCGGAAGACCAAGGGUUCCUGUCCAACGUUAAUCGGGGCAGGGUGAGUCGACCCCUAAGGC
rnacentral:rRNA from 1 species